ACCGGCCUGUAAUCCAGUCGCACCUUCUCAUUCUCCCAGUAUCUGCAGGUUUAUAAUAUUAUUGUAUUAAUAUACUUUUCAGAAUCGUUCAAUCACAUUUUGAAAAAAAAAAAAUGGACAUAAAGAAGAGACGGUUACCCGAGUGUGUGUUUCAUCCAAUUUUCAUCAUCUCUUUUCUGCAAAGUCGGAAUUUGUAUAUGGUUAUUAAAGAGAAAAAAGCGCGCUUCGUAACAGUUGAAAUAUUAAAUACUAACCGAAAAGUCUUCACGAGCAUGAGCUCCUCUACUCUCUUUCCUAGCUUCAGCUGAAUGCAUGGUGAUACACGCAUUGAUCAAGAGGUUUUCCAACUCUAUUGUUUCUAUCAAGUCGGAUUUACCAUAUUAAGCUUCGAUCCUUCAACUUAACAUCGUGGUAGCUCUCCCAUGCUUUGUCAAUCAGGUUGC
rnacentral:lncRNA from 1 species